rnacentral:rRNA from 1 species
AUCACUCUUGGAUGGACCUGCGGUGCAUUAGCUAGUUGGUAAGGUAACGGCUUACCAAGGCGAUGAUGCAUAGCCGAGUUGAGAGACUGAUCGGCCACAAUGGAACUGAGACACGGUCCAUACUCCUACGGGAGGCAGCAGUAGGGAAUCUUCCACAAUGGGCGCAAGCCUGAUGGAGCAACACCGCGUGAGUGAAGAAGGGUUUCGGCUCGUAAAACUCUGUUGUUGGAGAAGAACGUGCGUGAGAGUAACUGUUCACGCAGUGACGGUAUCCAACCAGAAAGUCACGGCUAACUACGUGCCAGCAGCCGCGGUAAUACGUAGGUGGCAAGCGUUAUCCGGAUUUAUUGGGCGUAAAGCGAGCGCAGGCGGUUGCUUAGGUCUGAUGUGAAAGCCUUCGGCUUAACCGAAGAAGUGCAUCGGAAACCGGGCGACUUGAGUGCAGAAGAGGACAGUGGAACUCCAUGUGUAGCGGUGGAAUGCGUAGAUAUAUGGAAGAACACCAGUGGCGAAGGCGGCUGUCUGGUCUGCAACUGACGCUGAGGCUCGAAAGCAUGGGUAGCGAACAGGAUUAGAUACCCUGGUAGUCCAUGCCGUAAACAAUGAGUGAU